GGGGGUGUAGCUCAGCUGGGAGAGCACCUGCCUUGCACGCAGGGGGUCAGGAGUUCGAGUCUCCUCAUCUCCACCA
rnacentral:tRNA from 1 species